CUACGGGACGCUGCAGUGGGGAAUAUUGGACAAUGGGGGAAACCCUGAUCCAGCAAUGCCGCGUGUGUGAAGAAGGCCUGCGGGUUGUAAAGCACUUUCGGUUGGGAGGACUGCUUCUAGCACUAAUAUUGUUGGAAGUUGACGUUACCUUCAGAAGAAGCACCGGCUAACUCCGUGCCAGCAGCCGCGGUAAUACGGGAGGGUGCAAGCGUUAAUCGGAAUUACUGGGCGUAAAGCGCGCGUAGGCGGCUAGAUCAGUCGGGUGUGAAAGCCCCGGGCUUAACCUGGGAACGGCAUCCGAUACUGUCUAGCUUGAGUACAGGAGAGGAGAGUGGAAUUCCACAUGUAGCGGUGAAAUGCGUAGAUAUGUGGAGGAACACCAAUGGCGAAGGCAGCUCUCUGGCCUGAUACUGACGCUGAGGUGCGAAAGCGUGGGGAGCAAACAGGAUUAGAUACCCUUGUAGUC
rnacentral:rRNA from 1 species